UGGGGAAUAUUGCACAAUCGGCGCAAGCCUGAUGCAGCAACGCCGCGUGAACGAUGAAGGUCCUCGGAUCGUAAAGUUCUGUUGCAGGGGCAGAUAAUGACGGUACCCUGUGAGGAAGCCCCGGCUAACUACGUGCCAGCAGCCGCGGUAAUACGUAGGGGGCUAGCGUUAUCCGGAUUUAUUGGGCGUAAAGCGCGCGCAGGUGGUUUAGAAAGUCUGAUGUGAAAGCCCACGGCUCAACCGUGGAGGGUCAUUGGAAACUAAUAAACUUGAGUGCAGGAGAGAAAAGUGGAAUUCCUAGGGUAGCGGUGAAAUGCGUAGAGAUUAGGAGGAAGACCGGUGGCGAAAGCGGCUUUUUGGCCUGCAACUGACACUGAGGCGCGAAAGCGUGGGGAGCGAACAGG
rnacentral:rRNA from 1 species